rfam:Cavia porcellus supercont2_29 genomic scaffold, whole genome shotgun sequence.
GGGGAUAUAGCUCUGUGGCACAGCACCUGCCUGGCAAGCAGGAAGUCCUGAGUUCAAUUUCCGGUAACCUCC